AGAGUUUGAUCAUGGCUCAGAUUGAACGCUGGCGGCAGGCCUAACACAUGCAAGUCGAGCGGUAGCACAGAGAGCUUGCUCUCGGGUGACGAGCGGCGGACGGGUGAGUAAUGUCUGGGAAACUGCCUGAUGGAGGGGGAUAACUACUGGAAACGGUAGCUAAUACCGCAUAAUGUCGCAAGACCAAAGUGGGGGACCUUCGGGCCUCAUGCCAUCAGAUGUGCCCAGAUGGGAUUAGCUAGUAGGUGGGGUAACGGCUCACCUAGGCGACGAUCCCUAGCUGGUCUGAGAGGAUGACCAGCCACACUGGAACUGAGACACGGUCCAGACUCCUACGGGAGGCAGCAGUGGGGAAUAUUGCACAAUGGGCGCAAGCCUGAUGCAGCCAUGCCGCGUGUGUGAAGAAGGCCUUCGGGUUGUAAAGCACUUUCAGCGGGGAGGAAGGCGUUAAGGUUAAUAACCUUGGCGAUUGACGUUACCCGCAGAAGAAGCACCGGCUAACUCCGUGCCAGCAGCCGCGGUAAUACGGAGGGUGCAAGCGUUAAUCGGAAUUACUGGGCGUAAAGCGCACGCAGGCGGUCUGUCAAGUCGGAUGUGAAAUCCCCGGGCUCAACCUGGGAACUGCAUUCGAAACUGGCAGGCUAGAGUCUUGUAGAGGGGGGUAGAAUUCCAGGUGUAGCGGUGAAAUGCGUAGAGAUCUGGAGGAAUACCGGUGGCGAAGGCGGCCCCCUGGACAAAGACUGACGCUCAGGUGCGAAAGCGUGGGGAGCAAACAGGAUUAGAUACCCUGGUAGUCCACGCCGUAAACGAUGUCGAUUUGGAGGUUGUGCCCUUGAGGCGUGGCUUCCGGAGCUAACGCGUUAAAUCGACCGCCUGGGGAGUACGGCCGCAAGGUUAAAACUCAAAUGAAUUGACGGGGGCCCGCACAAGCGGUGGAGCAUGUGGUUUAAUUCGAUGCAACGCGAAGAACCUUACCUGGUCUUGACAUCCACAGAACUUUCCAGAGAUGGAUUGGUGCCUUCGGGAACUGUGAGACAGGUGCUGCAUGGCUGUCGUCAGCUCGUGUUGUGAAAUGUUGGGUUAAGUCCCGCAACGAGCGCAACCCUUAUCCUUUGUUGCCAGCGGUCCGGCCGGGAACUCAAAGGAGACUGCCAGUGAUAAACUGGAGGAAGGUGGGGAUGACGUCAAGUCAUCAUGGCCCUUACGACCAGGGCUACACACGUGCUACAAUGGCAUAUACAAAGAGAAGCGACCUCGCGAGAGCAAGCGGACCUCAUAAAGUAUGUCGUAGUCCGGAUUGGAGUCUGCAACUCGACUCCAUGAAGUCGGAAUCGCUAGUAAUCGUAGAUCAGAAUGCUACGGUGAAUACGUUCCCGGGCCUUGUACACACCGCCCGUCACACCAUGGGAGUGGGUUGCAAAAGAAGUAGGUAGCUUAACCUUCGGGAGGGCGCUUACCACUUUGUGAUUCAUGACUGGGGUGAAGUCGUAACAAGGUAACCGU
rnacentral:rRNA from 1 species